AUACGGAGGGUCCGAGCGUUAUCCGGAAUCAUUGGGUUUAAAGGGUCCGUAGGCGGGAAUCUAAGUCAGUGGUGAAAUCUUGCAGCUCAACUGUAAAAUUGCCAUUGAUACUGGAUUUCUUGAAUUAGUGUGAAGUGGUUAGAAUGUGUAGUGUAGCGGUGAAAUGCAUAGAUAUUACACAGAAUACCAAUUGCGAAGGCAGAUCACUAACACUAUAUUGACGCUAAGGGACGAAAGCGUGGGGAGCGAACAGGAUUAGAUACCCGGGUAGUCC
rnacentral:rRNA from 1 species